GAAUGUUCUCCAAGUUCCCAUGUAAAUGCUAUAAAGUUUCCUUGAUGCGACCACAGAGGUUGUUCCUGAGUUUCCAGCCUGUUCAGAUGCGACCAUGAAGAUCUUUUCCAAGUCUUCUGUUCCUCAUGUUAGCUUGAUCAAUAGAUAUAGACGUGAAACUGGGCUAAGUCUGGUGAGUCCGGCUUGGAUGAGGCACCGCAUCUGGUCCAGUUGAUUCGGCCCAGAAUCUGAAAAUGCAUACACAGGCAUCCAGGCCGGGUGUGGCAGAUGGAUCUGGGCUGAUGGACGUGCUUGACAGAAAAUAAGGAUCUAAUCCUAAAGUAUCUAUUUUGUUUUUAAAUACCAUUGUUUUCCGUUGUUGGUGAAGUGUUAUUUUGGUUUCCAAUCACUAAGG
ensembl:lncRNA